GCGGUGAUGAAUUGGGACGCAGGCGCGGAGCCCAGGGACCACUCCCCCUGCACAGACAUGAGACCAUAGGGGACCUGUCUGGGUGGCCUCAGGGAUAGGCGCUCCCCAAGGUGUGAAU
rnacentral:other from 2 species